UACGUAGGGUGCGAGCGUUGUCCGGAAUUAUUGGGCGUAAAGGGCUCGUAGGCGGUUUGUCGCGUCGGGAGUGAAAACACCGGGCUUAACUCGGUGCUUGCUUUCGAUACGGGCAGACUAGAGGUAUGCAGGGGAGAACGGAAUUCCUGGUGUAGCGGUGAAAUGCGCAGAUAUCAGGAGGAACACCGGUGGCGAAGGCGGUCUGCUGGGCCGUUGCUGACGCUGAGGCGCGACAGCGUGGGGAGCAAACAGG
rnacentral:rRNA from 1 species